rnacentral:rRNA from 1 species
GAGCUCUUUGGGCAAGGCCUUACCAUGCAAGUCGAACGGUAACAGGAAGCAGCUUGCUGCUUUGCUGACGAGUGGCGGACGGGUGAGUAAUGUCUGGGAAACUGCCUGAUGGAGGGGGAUAACUACUGGAAACGGUAGCUAAUACCGCAUAACGUCGCAAGACCAAAGAGGGGGACCUUCGGGCCUCUUGCCAUCAGAUGUGCCCAGAUGAUAGCUAGCGUGGGGUAGGAGUCACCUAGGGCGCAGAUCCCCAUUAGCGCGAGAGGGAUAGCCGAGACCACACUCGAACUGGAGAACCGGGUUCCCAGGGCUCCUACGGAGGGCAGGCAGUGGGGGAUGUUGGACACAAUUGGGCGAGCCUUGAUGCAGGCCAUACCGCGUUUAUGAAAGAAGGCCUUUCGGCGUUGUAAAGUUACUUUCAAGCUGGGGAGGGAGGCGAUGCGGUUAAUACCGCGUCGAUUGGACGUUACCCUGCAAGAAGAAGCACGGCUUAACUUCCGUGCCCAGCAGCCCGCGGUAAUACGGAGGGUGCAAGCGUUAAUCGGAAUUACUGGGCGUAAAAGCGCACGCAGGCGGUCUGUCAAGUCGGAAUGUGAAAUCCCCCGGGCUCAAACCUGGGAAACUGCAUCCGAAACUGGCAGGCUUGAGUCUCGUAGAGGGGGGUAGAAUUCCAGGUGUAGCGGUGAAAUGCGUAGAGAUCUGGAGGAAUACCGGUGGCGAAGGCGGCCCCCUGGACGAAGACUGACGCUCAGGUGCGAAAGCGUGGGGAGCAAACAGGAUUAGAUACCCUGGUAGUCCACGCCGUAAACGAUGUCGACUUGGAGGUUGUGCCCUUGAGGCGUGGCUUCCGGAGCUAACGCGUUAAGUCGACCGCCUGGGGAGUACGGCCGCAAGGUUAAAACUCAAAUGAAUUGACGGGGGCCCGCACAAGCGGUGGAGCAUGUGGUUUAAUUCGAUGCAACGCGAAGAACCUUACCUGGUCUUUGACAUCCACAGAACUUUCCAGAGAUGGAUUGGUGCCUUCGGGAACUGUGAGACAGGUGCUGCAUGGCUGUUCGUCAGCUCGUGUUGUGAAAUGUUGGGGUUAGUCCCGCAACGAGCGCAACCCUUUAUCCUUUGUUGCCAGCGGUUCAGGCCGGGAACUCAAGGAGACUGCCAGUGAUAUAACUGGAGAGGGGGAUGACGUCAAAGUCAUCAUGCUCCUUUACGACAGGCUACCACCGUUGCUACAAUGCGCAUACUAAGAGAAGUCAUCUUCGCGAAGAAGCUAGCGACCCUCUCAUAAAAGGUGCGUCGUAUCCGUGAUCUGCAACUCGACUCCAUGAAGUCGGAAUCGCUAGUAAUCGUGAAUCAGAAUGUCACGGUGAAUACGUUCCCGGGCCUUGUACACACCGCCCGUCACACCAUGGGAGUGGGUGGCAAAAGAAGUAGGUAGCUUAACCUUCGGGAGGGCGCUUACCCACUUUGAUUUCAAGUUGUCC